UACGAAGGGGGCUAGCGUUGUUCGGAAUUACUGGGCGUAAAGCGCGCGCAGGCGGCUAUCCAAGUCAGUGGUGAAAGCCCGGAGCUCAACUCCGGAACUGCCAUUGAAACUGUUUAGCUUGAGGAUGAGAGAGGUGAGUGGAAUUCCCAGUGUAGAGGUGAAAUUCGUAGAUAUUGGAAAGAACACCGGUGGCGAAGGCGGCUCACUGGCUCAUUACUGACGCUCAGGCGCGAUAGCGUGGGGAUCAAACAGG
rnacentral:rRNA from 1 species